UGUUAUUUCUGGGAUUGGAGAUGGUGUAUGAAUCUUGCUUUCUUUUUGAUUCUGUAUUUUCCAAGUUUUGUAUGAUAAGGUUGUGUUUCUUAAGCAAUUGAAUCGUUUUAGAGAGUUAUUUUAAACUAAUCAACAGGACAUCAUAUUUUCCUUGUGUUUAGAAAAAAGGUCGGUGGCAUACAAGAUUAAAUCUGAAAAUUCAUUUUCAUUCAGUAAACUCUCUAACUUCAGAAAACAGACAAAGACAUCAGCGAGAAAACGAAGUCAUAUGAAGCAUAACCUUUGCCGGCUGCAGAAGUCGCACCUGGUUUUUCCGGGCUGGAGGAGGCCCGCCUCCCCGCGUCCUUCAAAGCCGCAGGCCUGGCUGCUGCAAGGGCCCAGGGAUCUUCCUCUUGCACCACAAAUGCCAUCACUCCCAUCGCUAAAGGGAGCGAACUGA
rnacentral:lncRNA from 1 species